UACGUAGGGGGCUAGCGUUGUCCGGAAUCAUUGGGCGUAAAGCGCGUGUAGGCGGCCCGGUAAGUCCGCUGUGAAAGUCGGGGGCUCAACCCUCGGAUGCCGGUGGAUACUGUCGGGCUCGAGUACGGAAGAGGCGAGUGGAAUUCCUGGUGUAGCGGUGAAAUGCGCAGAUAUCAGGAGGAACACCAAUUGCGAAGGCAGCUCGCUACGGAGUCAUUGACGCUGAGGCACGAAAGCGUGAGGAUCAAACAGG
rnacentral:rRNA from 1 species